UACGAAGGGAGCUAGCGUUAUCCGGAUUCACUGGGUUUAAAGGGUGCGUAGGAGGGCAGGUAAGUCAGUGGUGAAAUCUCCAAGCUUAACUUGGAAACUGCCGUUGAUACUAUCUGCCUUGAAUACCGUGGAGGUGAGCGGAAUAUGUCAUGUAGCGGUGAAAUGCUUAGAUAUGACAUAGAACACCAAUUGCGAAGGCAGCUCGCUACACGAAUAUUGACUCUGAGGCACGAAAGCGUGGGGAUCAAACAGG
rnacentral:rRNA from 1 species